GAUCUCUCCCAUGAAGUGACCAGGAUAGAGAAGCACCAGAACCGCCAAAAGUAUGGGCUGUGCGUCAUCUUCCUCUCCUGUACCAUGAUGCCCAACUUUAAAGACCUGAUCCAUUUCGAGGUCAGCAUCGGUCACUAUGGGAACAAGAUGGACCUGAAUUACAAGCCUCUAGUCUCAAGCACACAGUACAGCCCAGUGAUAUAUGAUGGGAACAUCUACCAUUAUGUGCCCUGGUACAACACCAAGCCUGUCGUGGCCGUGACCUCCAACUGGGAGGACGUCAGCUUCCGCAUGAACUGCCUCAACCUCCUCCACUUCACUCGGGACCGCCUGAAAGCCAACCUGGACACCCUGAAAUCCACACGGAAUCCGAAGGACCCAGCUCUCCUCUACCAGUGGGAGAAACUGCUGAGGGAGCUGGCGGAGGACUGCAGGCGCCCUCUGCCCUGCAUGACCUAUCAGCCCAAAGCCACCAGCCUGGACAGGAAGAGGUGGCAGCUCCGCAGCCUCCUCCUGCAGGAACUGGCCCAAAAGGCCAAGCAAGCCAAGCCCAAGGACAUGGUGGCCACAGUGGAGGACUGGCUGUACCGCCUCAACGCCGUGCUCCCUGAGGUGGGUGCCGCACACACAGGCCUGGAGCAGGGCUGGGAGCCAGCCGCGCAGGGCCUGACGUUCUCCCGCCUCGGCAGCCCCAGAUGGGCCUCCCUGACGUCAUGAUUUGGCUGGUGGCCAAGGAGCAGCGAGUGGCCUAUGCACAGUACCCAGAGGGUGAAGGACAGAAGGAUGUGCUCCCAGCUCACCUCCGGGUCUGCAUGUGGCUUGGCAAUGUCACAGACAGCAAGGACCUGCAGCUGCUCCGCCAGGGUGACACGGCGGUGUACGCCGAGGUGGUGAGUGUAUGAGAAUCAGGCCAAGUAUAAAGACCAGUGGGGGCAGCAGGGGCUGUAUCGCUGCCCCAACUUCUCAGAUGUCAUGGGGAACAAGACCCUCCCCAUGACGGAUUUCCAGCCACCCCUGGGAUGGCACUGGCAGGACAGCUGGACAGUGGAACCUCAGAGAAGGCUCCUCCUGGACAUAGACAUCAACAAGAGCCAGGUGCUGGAGGAGGUAUAUGAGAACCAGGGCCGUGACACCAGAGGGGCCUGGGGGCCUGCCGCCAUCCCAAACACAGAUGUGAAUGGACAGCCCAUGGAGGCCCGGGAGAAUGUGAAGUGCCCCCAAGGCUGGCACUUUAAGAAGGACUGGGUGGUGGAGCUGAACCACGCAGUGGACAGCAAGGGCUGGGAGUACGGAGUGGGGAUCCCACCAUCGGGCCUGCCCCAGGUCUGGAGCCCGGUGGAGAAGACCUACCACUCGUGCCGCCGCCGGCGCUGGGCGCGUGUGCGCUUCAGGAACCAUGGGGAGCUGAGCUACGAGCAGGAGACUCUCUCCUUCCUGCAGCUGGGCCUGGCCAAGGGCGAGGAGGAGGGCUGGGAGUAUGACACUUUCGGCUCCAAGUUCCACCUCAACCCUCAGCCCCAGAGCCGGUUCCGCCGCCGCUGCUGGCGCCGCAGGCUGGCCCCCAACAAGGACAAGGGCAUCGCGCCCAUAUUCCUCCUGGAAGGGUCCUUGGCUAUGGAUCUGAAAUACCAUGCUGGGAAGGAAGAGGACAGCAAGACAUGGCCAUGGGGUCUGGACAGACAGUUCAGGGACCCCCAGAGGCAGGACACCCUGCCCCCCAACUUGCCCUUCAUCUACUACAUCUUCAAUAAGCCCCACUACUACCAGCUCUUCUGCUACAUCUACCAGGCCCGGAACCUGGUGUCCAAUCAGAUCCUGACAUUCCAAGGGCCCUUCAUUCGGGUGGUCUUCCUGAACCACAGCCAGUGCACCCAAACCCUGAGGAGCUCUGCAGGCCCCACAUGGGCCCAGACACUCAUCUUCCAGCACCUCCUUCUGUACGAGAACCCGCAGGACACCAAAGAGACCCCGCCGGUUGUGGUGCUGGAGCUGUGGCAGCGUGACUCCUGGGGCAAGGAGAGCUUGUGGGGACGGAGCGUGUGGCCCCCAGUGGUCUGGCUGGAUCUCCAGGACCGGAUCCUGCCCCCCAUGAGGUGGCAUCCCCUUGUAAAGGAGUUGGGGAAGGAAGAGGGCGAGAUCUUGGCAUCCUGUGAGCUGAUCCUCCAGACUGAGAAGCUUGGAGAGAAGCAGCUGCCUAUCUUAAGCGUUCCCUGGAAGAAUGGGGCAUACACACUCCCCAAGAGCAUCCAGCCCACGAUAAAGAGGAUGGCCAUUGAGGUGCUGGCGAUGUGGGAUGGGGACGGUGGGCAGGACAGGCGGGGGUGGUCUGGAAUGCGCUGCUGCCUUCUGCUGGUCCUCCCUGACUACUGGAUACAAAGCUCACACCCCGAGAAAGACUACCUGGGAGGUGGAGGGAGACAGGAGAGAAAUGAAGAGGUUCUGGUGUAACACUGGAAAUCAUUUUACCACAAACCUCUGCAGUGAGGAGUAGGCAAAGGGCUUGUAGCAUGCAUGAUCACAUGUCGGACUCACGCUGCCCCUGCGCAGUAGGAACUACUUUGCAGAGAAGGAAAUAGAGGCUCCAAGAGAUAACACAUUCCAUGCACAGUGAUGCAGGGACUACGUGACAGGGCCAUUUAGGCCCAGCCCUGUCUGACUGCAAAUGCCAGGAUGUUGCUCACCUCUCUUCUGAGAGUAGCAUGGGCGUCCUCAUUCAGGACCUGUGUGCCCUGCUGCAAAUGUGGCAAAGAGCACAAGACGGUCAGGCCUCUGGGACUGAAGCCUUCCCCAAGAUCAAGCAACUUGGCUGGUUCCCGCUUUGGGCCCCAAGGAGGCCCAAAGUCAGGGUGCAGCUAUUUCCUGGCUGGGUGCCAGGUCACUGAAUGGCCAUGGGGUCCUCAAUGAGCUAGAUGGCACAGGGGCCCUGAGAAAUCCAGGCACUUCCUGCUUCUUCGGCCCUCAGAGGCAGUCAGCCUCAGGAACUCCUACCUGAGAACUGAUGAGGCCAGACAAGGCAGCGGGUGAGGAGGGGCAAUGCCUGCGGGCUAUGGAGGUCAGUGGAGGAUGCAGCCAGUGGCCGGAGGGCACCUCCCUCAUGGGUCGGGGGACAGCGUCCCAGCCCCAAGGACAAGCACUGAUCCUCACAGGACGGGGAAGCCUGUCCUUGUGCGCCUUCAGACACUGGCUCCUCUGCAGCCCCAUUCCCUGGCCCUGCAGGCUCCUGCUGCACCGCUAUUGCCCCUCAGCCCCCUUCUCUGGCCAGGACCCCAUUACAGAGGCGCUGCCUGCCCCUUGUUCUGCCCUCCUUCUUUGUUCUGGUAGAUCCUGGCCUGGGGCCUUCGGAACAUGAAGAAGGCGAGCUCCCCCCAGCUCCUGGUGGAAUUCGGGGAAGAGUCCCUGAGGACAGAACCCAUCAAGGACUUUCAGACCAACCCCAACUUCCCUGAGUCAGAGUCUGUCCUAGUCCUCACAGUGGUAAGAGGCCCUAGGGCAGGGGCUGGGCAGCCCUCUUCUUCCGUGGGUCUCACGCUCCCCACGUCUCCUCGGGGCUGCAGCUCAUGCCGACGGAGGAGGCCUACGCACUGCCCCUCGUGGUGAAGGUGGUAGACAACUGGGCCUUCGGCCAGCAGACCGUGACGGGCCAGGCCAACAUCGACUUCCUCCAGCCCUACUUCUGUGACCCCUGGGCUCAGGACUACAUGCACCCAAAGCUUCCAACGCUGUCUGAGAAGAAGAACAAGGAUUUCCCAGGCUACCUCUACAGAAAGUUCUGGUUCAAGUCCAGUAAAGCAGAGGAUGACUAUGAGCAUGAGGUGGACUGGUGGAGCAAGCUGUUCUGGGCCACAGAUGAGCACAAGUCCCUGAAGUACAAGUACAAAGACUACCACACCCUCAAGGUGUAUGACUGUGAGCUGGAGGCCGUGCCAGCCUUCCAGGGCCUGCAGGACUUCUGCCAGACCUUCAGACUCUACCAGGAGCAGCCCAAGCUGGACAGCCCCGUGGUAGGGGAGUUCAAGGGCCUUUUCCGCAUCUACCCCUUUCCUGAGAAUCCAGAAGCCCCAAAGCCCCCGCUCCAGUUCUUGGUUUGGCCAGAGAGAGAGGACUUCCCCCAGCCGUGCUUGGUGCGGGUGUACGUGGUACGAGCCAUCAACCUGCAGCCCCAGGACUACAAUGGCCUGUGUGACCCUUAUGUGAUCCUGAAACUGGGCAAGACAGAGCUUGGCAACCGGGACAUGUACCAGCCCAACACUCUGGAUCCCAUCUUUGGCAUGAUGUUUGAACUCACCUGCAACAUACCCCUGGAGAAGGACCUAGAGAUCCAGCUCUAUGACUUCGACCUAUUUUCACCUGAUGAUAAGAUAGGAACCACAGUCAUCGACCUUGAAAACCGACUCCUGUCUGGCUUUGGAGCUCAUUGUGGGCUCUCCAAAUCCUACUGCCAGUCAGGGCCCUUUAGAUGGCGGGAUCAGAUGCCCCCAAGCUACCUCCUAGAACGCUAUGCCAAGCGGAAAGGGCUACCUCCGCCUCUGUUCAGUCCUGAGGAAGAUGCUGUUUUCUAUAACGGGAAAAAGUUCAAGCUGCAAAGCUUUGAGCCCAAAACCCCUACUGUUCAUGGUUUGGGACCCAAGAAGGAACGCCUUGCACUGUACCUCCUGCACACCCAGGGGCUGGUACCUGAGCACGUGGAGACCCGCACACUGUACAGUGACAGCCAGCCAGGCAUCGACCAGGGAAAGGUGCAAAUGUGGGUGGACAUCUUCCCCAAGAAGCUGGGGCCUCCUGGCCCCCAAGUCAACAUCAACCCCAGAAAGCCUAAACGGUAUGAGCUGCGCUGCAUCAUCUGGAAGACUGCCAAUGUGGAUCUGGUGGAUGACAAUUUAAGUAGACAGAAGACGAGCGACAUCUACAUCAAAGGGUGGUUAUACGGGCUGGAGAAGGACAUGCAGAAGACAGAUAUCCACUACUACUCACUGACUGGGGAGGCGGACUUCAACUGGCGGUUCAUCUUUACCAUGGACUACCUGGCAGCGGAGCGCAUGUGUGUCCAGAGCCAGAAGGAUUACAUAUGGAGCCUGGAUGCCACGUCCAUGAAGUUCCCAGCCCGACUCAUCAUCCAGGUCUGGGACAAUGACAUCUUCUCCCCCGACGACUUCCUAGGUGAGGUCCUGACACAGGGCUUGUGACCACAGGACAGGGAGCUCCUUCUUGCUGAUGUCAUUUUUCUGGGCUCAGGGGUCCUGGAGCUGGAUUUGUCUGACAUGCCCCUCCCGGCUCGGCACGCCAAGCAGUGCUCCAUCAGGAUGAUGGACGCCGACCCCAAGUGGCCCUAUUUCCUCCAAUACAAGCACUUUUCCCUCUUUAAGAAGAAGACUGUGACUGGCUGGUGGCCUUGCCAGGUCCUCGAUGGUGGCAAAUGGCGCUUGUCGGGCAAGGUGAAGAUGAGCCUGGAGAUUCUGUCAGAGAAGGAAGCCUUAAUCAAGCCAGCCGGGCGAGGCCAGUCAGAACCCAACCAGUACCCUACACUUCAUCCUCCCCUACGCACCAACACCUCUUUCAUGUGGUUGCGGUCACCAGUUCAAAACUUCUGCUAUAUUUUCUGGAAACGCUAUCGCUUCAAACUCAUAGCCUUUAUGGUCAUAUCGAUUAUGGCACUUAUGCUGUUCAACUUUAUCUAUUCAGCUCCGCACUAUUUGGCCAUGAGCUGGAUCAAGCCUCAACUUCAGCUGUAUCCUCCCAUUAAAAUAUUCAAUAUCAUCAAUUCACUAAACACCAGCAAUGCCAGCUCUUCCAUCCUUCCCACCCAGGAUCCAAACCUAAAGCCUACAAUAGACCAUGAGUUGAAACUCCACCCAGGACCCACAAAUCACCUGAGUGACAUUUUCCCAGAACUUCCAGCCCCAGGAGACUAAUUACCCCAUGCUGCCUGGCUUUCCUCCUGCUACCAACAGCCCUCCCCUUGGGCUGGCUACCAGUUCUUUUUUCUAUCUUCUAGGAUAUAUGCAAGGUGCUAGGAAUAUUCUGGCUAUUGUGUUCAGAAAUCACUGUCAACAAGAAGAGCAGAGCUGUAAUUUUCCACUGAAAUAAACAAGUUCUAUAACAGA
rnacentral:sRNA from 1 species